rfam:Schistosoma haematobium scaffold147_66, whole genome shotgun sequence.
GCACUGCUGAGGAGUUCCACAAUAGGACGAAACGACCGUCCAGUGA